AGUCCUCUCCACCCCAAGGUAGGCAGCUUCCCGCUCCUCGUCUUGGGACCUAAACCCAGGAAGUCAAAUGUCCUUUUCUAGCAGGUCGCCUGGUUAGAGGCCGUGGACGAAGCGGUCCAGGCACAGCCAGCUGCAGGGCGCGGCCUCGGCGGCGCUGCUCGUGGCCCUGGUCAGUGAGCGCACUCACUCCUGGACUAAGCUCUAUGCAACUCAUUUUCAUCUAGCAUUACCUCUCCAAAACCUGAAUCUCCACAAGAAAGCCACACAGCAAUUAACCAGUGUUGCAAGAACUGCUUCUGUAAUAAAGGUGGGAAGACAAAUUGAUGCAACCCUCUUGAAAAGCAAUCUGGCAAUAUGAACCAAGAGCCAUGAAAAGGCUUAUGCUAUUAUAAUUAAAUGGCUGUAAUGUUGGCUGUAAAUAUGAAAUUUUCUUUCACACACCAAUGUUUUCAAGAAUGGCAUAUUCACAUGCAGUAUGUGAUGAAAGAAGCAGUAAAGGAUGCUAACAAAGCUAUUUCUUUGGACAAUCUGAACCUGACGGAGUCUUACUCUGUCGCCCAGGCAGGAGUGCAAUGGCACAAUCUUGGCUCACCACAACCUCCGCCUCCUGGGUUCAAGUGACUCUCCUGCCUGGCCAUAGAAGCAAACACAAACAUAGAGGAAUUGGCUUUGGGCAGAUGGAAGGACCUCAGAGAAAAGAAACAAAGGAAAGAAAACUGGAUGGAUAAAGGUUUGUAGAAAUACUAUUCACAGGAAGCAAAUAGGAAUUCCUUAUCGCUAAACAGACACUAAGUCAAUUGGUAAAGAUCUUGCCAGCUGGUGCCUGGGUGCAUAGACUGCCUAUGGCUCUUGAAUUGCAUGCUGAAAACUUCAUAAUGAAACCAGAAAAUCACAGAAGCAUAAACACAGCUGCUUAUGCCUAUAAAUUAUUGCUGGUGAAAAGGAUGUUUAAGCAGAGUGAGAGACUCUCAGCAAAAAAAGGUAACUGAAAGAGUGGUAAGUCAGACAAAGAAGAAAAAUGCCAAAGAAGAGGGUCAAGAACAACUCAUAUGACUCCGAAAUCCCUUACCCACAUUGGAGUUAUAAAAAGUUCAGGAGCUGGAGACAAAAGGCAGGUUCAUAAAGAGGAUUCCUUGGAGAGAGUUGUUAUAAUGCUAUGAGAAAAUUGAAGCCAACAGAAGUUAACUAACUUGCCUAAAAUAACACAGCUGUGGCAAAUUAGGACCAGAACCAAGGUCUCCUGACCUAAGUGCUACUCCCACCAUACUACAUGAUCUGCUGUUUAAAAUUUUGGUGAGCUUUAUAACAUAAAUAAAACUACAGAUGUGAAGGAC
rnacentral:lncRNA from 1 species